rnacentral:rRNA from 1 species
CUACGGGCGGCUGCAGUGAGGAAUUUUGCGCAAUGGGGGGAACCCUGACGCAGCAACGCCGCGUGAGUGAUGAAGGCUUUCGGGUCGUAAAGCUCUGUCAAGUGGGAAGAACCUAUGCAGUGUUAAUAUCACUGUAUACUGACGGUACCACUGAAGGAAGCACCGGCUAACUCCGUGCCAGCAGCCGCGGUAAUACGGGGGGUGCAAGCGUUAUUCGGAAUCAUUGGGCGUAAAGGGCACGUAGGCGGCUUGGUAAGUCAGAUGUGAAAGCCCGGGGCUUAACCCCGGAAGUGCAUUUGAUACCGUCAGGCUUGAGUAUGGGAGAGGGAAGUGGAAUUCCUGGUGUAGAGGUGAAAUUCGUAGAUAUCAGGAGGAACACCGGUGGCGAAGGCGACUUCCUGGACCAAUACUGACGCUGAGGUGCGAAGGCGUGGGUAGCAAACAGGAUUAGAUACCCUAGUAGUC